UUGGCGAAACCCGAAAAGCCAAAAAUAGAGUAGGGU
rnacentral:ncRNA from 1 species